rnacentral:rRNA from 1 species
GACGAACGCUGGCGGCGUGCUUAACACAUGCAAGUCGAACGGAAAGGCCCUGCGUUUGUGGUGUUCUCGAUUGGCGAACAGGUGAGUAACACGUGAGUAACCUCCCCUUAACUUUGGGAUAACUUCAGGGAACUGGGGCGAAUACCGGAUAUGAGCUCCUGCUGCGUGUUGGUGGUAGGAAAGUUUCGGCGGUUGUGGCUGGACUCGAGGCUUAUCAGCUGCUUGGUCGGGUAGUGGCGUACCAAGGGUUUGACGGGUAGCCGGCAUGAGAGGGUGACCGGCCACAUUGGGACUGAGAUACGGACCAGACUCCUACGGGCGGCAGCAGUGGGGAAUAUUGCAGAAUGGGCGGAAGUGUGAUGUAGCAACGCCGGGUGCGGGAUGACGGCUUUCGGGUUGUAAACAGAUUUCGCCUGUGACGAAGAGUGCGUGACGGUAACGGGUAAAGAAGCAACGGCUAACUACGUG